AUUGAACGCUGGCGGCACGCCUAACACAUGCAAGUCGAGCGGUAGCAUGGUUAGUAGCAAUACUAACUGAUGACGAGCGGCGGACGGGUGAGGAACACGUAGGAACUUGCCCUUUAGAGGGGGAUACCCAAGGGAAACUUUGGCUAAUACCGCAUAGACUCGAGAGAGGAAAGCGUCCCGCAAGGGUCGCGCUAGAGGAGAGGCCUGCGUCCGAUUAGCUAGUUGGUGAGGUAAAGGCUCACCAAGGCGAUGAUCGGUAACUGGUCUGAGAGGACGACCAGUCACACUGGGACUGAGACACGGCCCAGACUCCUACGGGAGGCAGCAGUGGGGAAUAUUGGACAAUGGGGGCAACCCUGAUCCAGCGAUGCCGCGUGGGUGAAGAAGGCCUUCGGGUUGUAAAGCCCUUUAGGCCGGGACGAAGUGCAGUGGUUUAAGAGAUAGCUGUAUUGACGGUACCGGCAGAAUAAGCACCGGCAAACUCUGUGCCAGCAGCCGCCGUAA
rnacentral:rRNA from 1 species